UACUUGAAAAAUGUUGGAAUGCGAUGAUAUGUGGAAAAUGUAGAUGCAUUUACUUCUGAUGAAUAUAAACCAUAAAAAUGUAAAUAUGAAAUAUUCAUAUCGGUACUUUUCGAUAUGUAGUCGAGCAUAUAACUUACUACCUAUAUAUAUAGACAAACAAAUUUUUUUGUAACAAGGAUAAGAUAACCUAUGAUAACAAUUUUCUGCCUUAAUGUAGGGAUGACGAAACAUUCGUCGUGAUUACGAUGUUUUUGUAAUUCUAGCAAAUUGAUUUUUGUAUAGCGAUGGUAAAAACGGUGAUUUGUUAAAAUAACAGAGUAAAACUCCUUGAGCAGUUGUCGCCCUAUAACUUCAUAAUUUGAUACUUUUUUCUAAGAUUAUGUGGCCGGAAAUUUUUUAAUUUCAGAACUACAGAUUCUUAAAAUUCAAUUUGAAUUUUCGGAAGAAGGAAAACGAUUGAUUUAGCUGUCGUGUCUCUAGACGACGAAAUUAAGAAGAGGAAUGCUUUAUUUGUGGAAAUCUAUCAAGAAAUGCUCAGCCGAGUCACUUCAAAGUCUCGGAAAGGUUUUGCUGCUGGUUUGAUGAAGAGCUUCAAGAUCUCGUAGAUAAAAUUCUGGUAAUGUGUGUUAAGUUCUUUGAUGAAGUUCAGCCAAACUUUUAAAAAGUAAAAAUUUGGUUCAUUUUAUCGAUGUAGUUUUAUGAAAAAAAUUUUUCAAGCAAUCACGCCAAUGAUUUGAUAACAAGCUGAUCUUUUUUAAGAUCUUUUUAAGGCAAGUUAAACCUCAGAACUUUCCAAACAUUCUUCCGCGUUCGUGAAAAAAAUUUAUAAAUUGGAUCGACUAUUUUUUUCUAAUACUUUAACUUUUAGUUGAGAAAA